rnacentral:hammerhead_ribozyme from 1 species
GUCAGCUGACGAGUCACAAAUAGGACGAAACGCUCGUCCAGGAC